UUGCCAGCCCGCUCAGAAACUCAAAGGAAUUGACGGGGCCCGCACAAGCGGUGGAGCAUGUGGUUAAUUCGAAGCAACGCGAAGAACCUUACCAGGCCUUGACAUGCAGAGAACUUUCCAGAGAUGGAUUGGUGCCUUCGGGAACUCUGACACAGGUGCUGCAUGGUUGUCGUCAGCUCGUGCCGUGAGGUGUCGGGUUAAGUCCCAUAACGAGCGCAACCCCUACUGCUAGUUGCCAGCGGGUCAUGCCGGGGACUCUAGCGGAACUGCCAGCGUAAGCUGCGAGGAAGGUGGGGAUGACGUCAAAUCAGCACGGCCCUUACGUCCAGGGCUACACACGUGUUACAAUGGCCAGUACAGAGGGCAGCCACCCCGCGAGGGGCGCUAAUCCUAAAAGCUGGUCCCAGUUCGGAUCGGAGUCUGCAACCCGACUCCGUGAAGCUGGAUUCGCUAGUAAUCGCGCAUCAGCCACGGCGCGGUGAAUACGUUCCCGGGCCUU
rnacentral:rRNA from 1 species